rnacentral:rRNA from 1 species
AAAUUGAAGAGUUUGAUCAUGGCUCAGAUUGAACGCUGGCGGCAGGCCUAACACAUGCAAGUCGAACGGUAACAGGAAGCAGCUUGCUGCUUCGCUGACGAGUGGCGGACGGGUGAGUAAUGUCUGGGAAACUGCCUGAUGGAGGGGGAUAACUACUGGAAACGGUAGCUAAUACCGCAUAACGUCGCAAGACCAAAGGG